CGAGCCGACCGGACGGCCGCGUCACGAGUGAUCGUGCCGAGGAAAGUCCGGACUCCACAGGGCAGGGUGGUUGCCAACGGCAACCCGGGGCGACCCGCGGGACAGUGCCACAGAAAACAGACCGCCCGGGUGCGUGCACCCGGGUAAGGGUGAAACGGCGGUGUAAGAGACCACCAGCGCGGCGGGUGACCGCAGCGGCUCGGUAAACCCCACCCGGAGCAAGGUCAAGAAGGACCGGUUCGCCGGUCCGCGCAGGCGUUCGAGGGCGGCCCGCCCGAGCCUGCGGGUAGACCGCUCGAGCCUGUCGGCGACGGCAGGCCUAGAUGGAUGGCCGUCACCCGGCACCUCGGUGCCGGGCACAGGAUCCGGCUUACAGGUCGACUCGUCCG
rnacentral:RNase_P_RNA from 1 species